AAAAUAGGAAAAAAAAUCAAAAAAAAA
rnacentral:sRNA from 1 species